GGAACCCUAUGGCACAAGCCUCAAACCCACACGCACAAGUAGAUACGGAAUCCAAAGAUUUGAUAAACCCACCUCCUAUGGCACCCCAAACUUAGGGAAGCUGAAACACCAAUGAUCGAAGGAUUUAGAUGAGAAUCUGACAAACGCCACAACGAAUAGUUGAUAAGUUAGCCAAGAUUCCUGGUGCAAUUGAUGAAAGCAAAUCCUCACUCUCACUCAAAGC
rnacentral:lncRNA from 1 species